rnacentral:rRNA from 1 species
UACGAAGGGGGCUAGCGUUGCUCGGAAUCACUGGGCGUAAAGCGCACGUAGGCGGAUUGUUAAGUCGGGGGUGAAAUCCUGGAGCUCAACUCCAGAACUGCCUUCGAUACUGGCGAUCUUGAGUCCGGGAGAGGUGAGUGGAACUCCGGGUGUAGAGGUGAAAUUCGUAGAUAUUCGGAAGAACACCAGUGGCGAAGGCGGCUCACUGGCCCGGUACUGACGCUGAGGUGCGAAAGCGUGGGGAGCAUACAGG